rnacentral:lncRNA from 1 species
AGACAAGCUGUCACCAGCAGAGUCAUUAUGACGCCCCAGACAGAGUAUCCUGAGAACGGCGUUUUAUUCCAGGGCGGUCACUCUAUGCCUCUGUGGGAUUGAGUGUCUCCCUGGAGUACAGGAAAGAAGUGAGUUCGUGCUAUGGUGUAAACCCAAUACCUGGACUCAUCACCUUACACCAGCAGCAGAAAACGCAAAGGGAAGCAUUGACUAGCUACCGUUUUCUACCAAGUGCUGUUCUCCAAACUUUGGAUGAAACCAGAUACGGGAGAGAAAGUAGCAUCAGCUACAAGGUCAGAUAA